UACGAAAGGGGGGCUAGCGUUGCUCGGAAUCACUGGGCGUAAAGCGCACGUAGGCGGCUGAUUGAUAGUCGGGGGGUGAAAUCCUGGGAGCUCAACUCCAGAACUGCCUUCGAUACUGGCGAUCUCGAGUUCGGGAGAGGUGAGUGGAAACUGCGAGUGUAGAGGUGAAAUUCGUAGAUAUUCGCAAGAACACCAGUGGCGAAGGCGGCUCACUGGCCCGAUACUGACGCUGAGGUGCGAAAGCGUGGGGAGCAAACAGGAUUAGA
rnacentral:rRNA from 1 species